GAAUUUGUGGACUUCAUUUAGCCCAACAGCGUUGCCGUAUUUUCAACAUUAAGGUUCCAAAUAGACAACUAUAAAGUUAUUAUUAGAUAAUAUUGCACAAAACUUUCUUCUCUGUGAAGAAGCAUUAGAGUAUUGCUGUUGAAACGCUAAGAUCAGCUGACAUCACAAUGUGAAGAACUUACAACAACUCAGUGAAGGCAUUCUUGGAGUAUUCAACGGAUUCUUUGAGAUUGGGUGGUGAAUGUUAAAAAUAUGUUGAAUUUUUAAAAAGUAACUUUCUCAAGCACCUUAGUUGCAGCUCCGAACAUACUUUGUAAUCCCCAACCAAAUGUGAAAGAACGGUCAUCCCGAAUAUUACGAUAAAAAGGUGCAACGCUAAUAAAGAAGGUACAUGAUGCACUUUCUACUCAAAAACAGGGACAUUUUUUCUUAAAAUUAUGUAGUCCUCUCAAUGCCGUUCUCUCAAAACGAAAAUAUGAUCUGAUGUGAAAAGGGGUCACGGAUAUGUACAAACUAUGGACUGUUGCAAAUGGGGUCACCCACAUUACAGAACUUUCUGUAUAGAAUAAAAAAUAUUUGCGUUUUUGCUUUACUCUAACAUGUUCUCUUAAAAGCAGUUGAGCGUGACCUUAACUUAAUAUUAACGGUAUUUAUUGACUUUGACCCAAAAACAACCUAAAGGUGAAAAUUACCACUUAGAGUAUAUAUAACAAAGAUCCCAUUUCUCAUUUUGAUUUACCUUGAUUCAGGCACAAAAACUCAUAAAAGUACACAACAAAUGAUUAAUUGAAAAAUAUGCAAAUAUCUAUAUUACUGUAUCAGAAAGUAUAUUAUUAAACAAACAUAUGAUCGUCAAUAAAGAGCUUACAUUUUUAGUACCGUUACAUAAUUUUUUACUGAUAAUUCUUAUCAUAUUAAUGGUGUCCAUUGACAUCUCUAUAUAAAUUAUUACAAUUAUUGCGUUUGCUGCAAGGAAAAUAUGUAUAUAUGAAUUUAUUAUAUAAGGGAAAUGAACAAUCUUAAACAUGCCUACCUCUUUUUAUUUAUGCUAUACUAAAAGCUUUCUUACACAGUAAAUAAAAAUCUUAAGUUCCAGAUACUUUUUAUUUUAGGCUUAUCUAAUACGAAAAAAAAGAUAUUGUUUUAAUACGAGUCUGUAAUUUGCGUCAAAGUAAAGAAUGCUAUAAUUACACUUAAUACGUUUGUUAUUGUAAAUUGAUCAAAUUUUUGGAGAUCUUACGCGUCUUAGUGGCAACAUCUGCAGCUUUAACGAUCAUAUUUGACAAUAAAGUUACUUUAAGUAUAAUUAAUUCUUAAGUCAUUA